rnacentral:rRNA from 1 species
CCUACGGGAGGCAGCAGUGAGGAAUAUUGGUCAAUGGGCGAGAGCCUGAACCAGCCAAGCCGCGUGAGGGAAGACGGCCCUAUGGGUUGUAAACCUCUUUUGUCGGAGAACAAAACCCGGGACGUGUCCCGGCCUGCGUGUAUCCGAAGAAAAAGCAUCGGCUAACUCCGUGCCAGCAGCCGCGGUAAUACGGAGGAUGCGAGCGUUAUCCGGAUUUAUUGGGUUUAAAGGGUGCGUAGGCGGUCCGUUAAGUCAGCGGUAAAAUUGCGGGGCUCAACCCCGUCGAGCCGUUGAAACUGGCAGACUUGAGUUGGCGAGAAGUACGCGGAAUGCGCGGUGUAGCGGUGAAAUGCAUAGAUAUCGCGCAGAACUCCGAUUGCGAAGGCAGCGUACCGGCGCCAGACUGACGCUGAGGCACGAAAGCGUGGGGAUCGAACAGGAUUAGAUACCCGGGUAGUC